rnacentral:rRNA from 1 species
GACGAACGCUGGCGGCGUGCUUAACACAUGCAAGUCGAACGGAAAGGCCCUGCUUUUGUGGGGUGCUCGAGUGGCGAACGGGUGAGUAACACGAGAGUAACCUGCCCUUGACUUUGGGAUAACUUCGGGAAACUGGGGCUAAUACCGGAGAGGAGCUCCUGAUGCAUGGUGGGGGUUGGAAAGAUUCGGCGGUUGGGGAUGGACUCGCGGCUUAUCAGCUUGUUGGUGGGGUAGUGGCUUACCAAGGCUUUGACGGGUAGCCGGCCUGAGAGGGUGACCGGCCACAUUGGGACUGAGAUACGGCCGAGACUCCUACGGGAGGCAGCAGUGGGGAAUAUUGCACAAUGGGCGGAAGCCUGAUGCAGCAACGCCGCGUGCGGGAUGACGGCCUUCGUGUUGUAAACCGCUUUCGCCUGUGACGAAGCGUGAGUGACGGUAAUGGGUAAAGAAGCACCGGCUAACUACGUG